rnacentral:rRNA from 1 species
GCAGUCGAGGGGCAGCAUGGUCUUAGCUUGCUAAGGCCGAUGGCGACCGGCGCACGGGUGAGUAACACGUAUCCAACCUGCCGUCUACUCUUGGACAGCCUUCUGAAAGGAAGAUUAAUACAAGAUGGCAUCAUGAGUCCGCAUGUUCACAUGAUUAAAGGUAUUCCGGUAGACGAUGGGGAUGCGUUCCAUUAGAUAGUAGGCGGGGUAACGGCCCACCUAGUCUUCGAUGGAUAGGGGUUCUGAGAGGAAGGUCCCCCACAUUGGAACUGAGACACGGUCCAAACUCAUACGGGAGGCAGCAGUGAGGAAUAUUGGUCAAUGGGCGAGAGCCUGAACCAGCCAAGUAGCGUGAAGGAUGACUGCCCUAUGGGUUGUAAACUUCUUUUAUAAAGGAAUAAAGUCGGGUAUGCAUACCCGUUUGCAUGUACUUUAUGAAUAAGGAUCGGCUAACUCCGUGCCAGCAGCCGCGGUAAUACGGAGGAUCCGAGCGUUAUCCGGAUUUAUUGGGUUUAAAGGGAGCGUAGAUGGAUGUUUAAGUCAGUUGUGAAAGUUUGCGGCUCAACCGUAAAAUUGCAGUUGAUACUGGAUAUCUUGAGUGCAGUUGAGGCAGGCGGAAUUCGUGGUGUAGCGGUGAAAUGCUUAGAUAUCACGAAGAACUCCGAUUGCGAAGGCAGCCUGCUAAGCUGCAACUGACAUUGAGGCUCGAAAGUGUGGGUAUCAAACAGGAUUAGAUACCCUGGUAGUCCACACGGUAAACGAUGAAUACUCGCUGUUUGCGAUAUACGGCAAGCGGCCAAGCGAAAGCGUUAAGUAUUCCACCUGGGGAGUACGCCG